rnacentral:rRNA from 1 species
AGUGAACGCUGGCGGUAGGCCUAACACAUGCAAGUCGAACGGCAGCACAGUAAGAGCUUGCUCUUACGGGUGGCGAGUGGCGGACGGGUGAGGAAUACAUCGGAAUCUACUUUUUCGUGGGGGAUAACGUAGGGAAACUUGCGCUAAUACCGCAUACGACCUACGGGUGAAAGCAGGGGAUCUUCGGACCUUGCGCGAUUGAAUGAGCCGAUGUCGGAUUAGCUAGUUGGCGGGGUAAAGGCCCACCAAGCGACGAUCCGUAGCUGGUCUGAGAGGAUGAUCAGCCACACUGGAACUGAGACACGGUCCAGACUCCUACGGGAGGCAGCAGUGGGGAAUAUUGGACAAUGGGCGCAAGCCUGAUCCAGCCAUACCGCGUGGGUGAAGAAGGCCUUCGGGUUGUAAAGCCCUUUUGUUGGGAAAGAAAAGCAGCAGGUUAAUACCCCGCUGUUCUGACGGUACCCAAAGAAUAAGCACCGGCUAACUUCGUG